rnacentral:rRNA from 1 species
GAUGAACGCUGGCGGCGUGCUUAACACAUGCAAGUCGAACGAUGAAGCCCAGCUUGCUGGGUGGAUUAGUGGCGAACGGGUGAGUAACACGUGAGCAACCUGCCCCUGACUCUGGGAUAAGCGCUGGAAACGGCGUCUAAUACUGGAUAUGUCCCGUCACCGCAUGGUGUGCGGGUGGAAAGAUUUUUCGGUUGGGGAUGGGCUCGGCCUAUCAGCUUGUUGGUGAGGUAAUGGCUCACCAAGGCGUCGACGGGUAGCCGGCCUGAGAGGGUGACCGGCCACACUGGGACUGAGACACGGCCCAGACUCCUACGGGAGGCAGCAGUGGGGAAUAUUGCACAAUGGGCGGAAGCCUGAUGCAGCAACGCCGCGUGAGGGAUGACGGCCUUCGGGUUGUAAACCUCUUUUAGCAGGGAAGAAGCGAAAGUGACGGUACCUGCAGAAAAAGCACCGGCUAACUACGUG